CCAUUUUCAAAAGUGAGGAAGAGGCAUAGCUACGAGAGCAACUAAUGAAGACUUUCUGAGUUUUUCACUUAGUUCAUCCCAGCCAUCAAAAAUUAUCAGUAAUCCUUCUCCAUUCCUCUUCUCAAACCAUUCAGCUACCAUGGGAACUUCAUAACGUCUAUACUCAAACAGGACAGUAAAGUACCAAGUCAUACUGUUGGUGUACAAGUG